UGAUUGCGCUAGGACAGUUCGGGA
rnacentral:piRNA from 1 species